GACGAACCGUGCGAACGUUGUUCGGAAUCACUGGGCUUAAAGGGCGCGUAGGCGGGCCAGCAAGUCAGGGGUGAAAGCCCACGGCUCAACCGUGGAAGAGCCUUUGAUACUGCCGGCCUCGAGGGAGGUAGGGGCGUGCGGAACUUCCGGUGGAGCGGUGAAAUGCGUAGAUAUCAUUUGGAACGCCAAUGGUGAAAACAGGUAGCUGGGGCUGUACUGACACUGAGACACGAAAGCCAGGGGAGCAAACGGG
rnacentral:rRNA from 1 species